UAGGUAGGGAAACAUUUCUGCACAGACUAGACCAGAGAAACCAGUGUGUGAAAAGGUUUGUGAUACGUG
rnacentral:pre_miRNA from 17 species